rnacentral:rRNA from 1 species
UACGGAGGGUGCAAGCGUUAAUCGGAAUUACUGGGCGUAAAGCGCACGCAGGCGGUUUGUUAAGUCAGAUGUGAAAUCCCCGAGCUUAACUUGGGAACUGCAUUUGAAACUGGCAAGCUAGAGUCUUGUAGAGGGGGGUAGAAUUCCAGGUGUAGCGGUGAGAUGCGUAGAGAUCUGGAGGAAUACCGGUGGCGAAGGCGGCCCCCUGGACAAGGACUGACGCUCAGGUGCGAAAGCGUGGGGAGCAAACAGG